ensembl:lncRNA
CUCGUUUUAUACUUUAUACCUAAUGAGAUAUGAGAACAUUGCACUGGGUGCGUCGCCGACCUCCACAUGUCGUUAAUAUCGGUUUGGACCGGAAUGCCCAUUGAAGUGUGCGCUGCUCCGUGUUGAACGGGGCAGAAUUGCGUGAUUUGGGGGGGGGGGGCGUGGCGUGGCGUGCGCCCCUGUGCGCUGGUGACUCUCCGGACGCGCUCAUGCAUGCUCAUCCGACGUGACAUUGGCGAUGGCCGGGGACGCGACAGCCCAUCACCGAGAAAAGUAACUUUCUCUCUUCUCCCCCCCCCCGCGAAGACGCCGGCGCGCCGGUCCUCCCACGCAGUCCGGUACACCAAAUACAUAUUCAACUUUAGUCAAUGGAUUUAUUACCCACAACACAAGCACAUUUUAGUAAGUGAACUUUCUUAUAAUCUUUUAAUAUUACUUUUAAUAAAAGUUUACUCUCAGAUGCCUGUUAAAACCUCCCAACAAGCACUGCGGUGCCUUAUUAUUGACAGCUUAGCAAGUUAAAAACUAAAAAAAACAAUCUGCCGGAUUUUUUGGGAGCGCGUUUCUGUGCUGCUGUGCGUGCGGUGGUGAUGUUUCAGCAUUUUAAGAUGUGCUGGGCAAACAGGAUUUGGGCACAAUUCUGUAACAGGGCUGUCAGUGGGAACUGUGGAAUCCGGCCUCGCACGGCUCCUAUACGCUGUCCUCGCUGGGCUUACCGCUGUUUUUCACCAUUAUAAUGUUGAUCUCAGCACAUGCCAGCUGGGCAGUGGAGCGAGCAGGUGAGGGAGAACGUGUGUGUGUGUGUGUGUUCGUGUGUGUGUGUGUGUGUGUGUGAGGCAGACAGUAAAUACCAUGUAAUUGCCAGCAGUUAAAAGUUUCAGAGAUUUCGCAUUAGAAGAGACUUCCCAUUUUGGUGCAUGUCAGCGCAUCAGCGUUCUAUAAAGUUGAACGUUUAGAGUGGAACUCGCUUUUUUUUUCGGAGCUUCGAUUGUGUCCCGUGAAUGCACUUGUACGCGACCAGACAAAUCAGCUUGUUCCCGCUGUUUGUCUGGCCUCUUUCCUGUUGUGUCCGCUCCUCUGUCGGACAGCGUGGUUCCAGCGCGAGGACUGUUAACCGGACUGAGCCCAAAACACUCCGUUCCUGUUUUGUGUUCUCAGCUGGUAGUUUGCGUUUCCUUUGAUUCCUGAGUCCUGAUGAUCUCUCUUUCCCCCUCCUCCCCUCAUUGUCUCCUCUUCCCUUUCCUCUCUACCCCCUUUGCUUUGUUCACUCCUGACCGUACGUUCUCCC